UACGGAGGGUGCGAGCGUUGUCCGGAAUCACUGGGCGUAAAGGGCGCGUAGGCGGCCCGUCAAGUCCCGUGUGAAAGCCCCCGGCUCAACCGGGGAACGGCGCGGGAAACUAGCAGGCUUGAGUUCGGGAGAGGGAAGCGGAAUUCCGGGUGUAGCGGUGAAAUGCGCAGAUAUCCGGAGGAACACCGGUGGCGAAGGCGGCUUCCUGGACCGACACUGACGCUGAGGCGCGAAAGCUAGGGGAGCAAACAGG
rnacentral:rRNA from 1 species